CACUAUGAGACAAGGAUGUCCUUUUUACCACUGAGCUUGUUCUAAGUUUCCUCUGGACCUCCUCUGUUGAUAAGCUAGUGGGGACUUGAGGAGUGAGGCUGGAAGUCCAGCCUCCCUGCCAACACCUCAGGGAUGAAGGACAGUUGCUCUGAUUCAUUUCUGGACUUCAGUGGAAGAAGCAGCCCUUAUUUAGGAUAUUGUUAGUCUUUGGCAGAGGGAAUACAAAGCAAUGGAAGGGUGAUGUGAUGGCUCCGAAAGCUUCUGUUGGAUGUAGAAUAUAAAGUUUGCUCACCUUUUUUAAUCCAAAGAGAAAAACAAGGAGAGAAAAAUCUAAACCCAGCAGAAGAGAAAGUUUAAGAAAGCGGUCGUCGCCAAUACCAAAAUUAGCUAUGAUAUUCAGGAAGAAAAAAAUGGAAACACGAUAACCACAGUCAAUAAAGACCAAGGCCACAUUCCAUUGACCAGAGCUCAGCCACGCGCCACACCUGGCUAAAGAGACUCUGGCUGAAGAAUUCCCUGAAUAUUUUAAUGUAGCUCUAGGUUAUAACACAGAACAACCACAAGGUGGCAGAAGAACUCCAUUCUUGUAAAUCUCUUAGUUGCUUCUUUAUUUCAUCUUCCCUAUUCCAUCUAAUGUUCCCUGAAUUUUACUAUUUUGUUGGUUUGAAAAUAUGUGUGACUUACGUCCUUUAAAGGAUUUGGUUCGUAAGGUUUUGAAUAGACUGGAAUAUAAAACAUUUAUAGAAAAGAAAAAUACCUACAGUAUGAUGUUAGUGAACUAUUAAUAAUCCAAUUAAAUAAAAUAUAUUUGCUUUGGAUUAAUACA
rnacentral:lncRNA from 1 species